rnacentral:misc_RNA from 1 species
GGCUUUGACCCCCAUUCAUCCCGAACCCCCGGGAUUUGACCCGGGCCGUCUCUAAUGACUGGUACAAUCGGUUGGGUGCAUCUGGUUUACUUGUGGUGUCGGGUUUGCCGGUGUAUCUGUUGCUGGUCCGGCGGGUUGUGUUGGUUAGGGUUGGUGCCUGCCUAUGUGUGGGUUGCUGCCUAUCUGAUGUUGCUCGCUGUGGUUGGCUAUGAUUGUUCCGCUCAAGCUUCAAUGAGGCGUGGCUUGGUGCCUAUGUUGCUUCUGUGUGGUGUUCGAGUUGUCGGCUUGCUCUCUUGGUGUCCGAUCCAUUGAGUGGCCCGGCUCUUGUGCAUUUAUAUGGUGGCUUCACUGGUGCGGCUAGCGUGCCUAUGCCCAUGUAUAUGUUGAUGCCUAUGUUGCUCUCGUGUGGUGUUGAGUUGUCGGCUUGCUCUCUUUGGUGUCCGAUCCAUUGAGUAGCCCGGCUCUUGUGCAUUAUAUGGAGGCUGCACGGGUGUCGGCUGGUUGGUGAGUCUAUAUAUGUUUCUCUAUAUAGUUCACAUAUGUAAACUUUUUUUUUUAUAUGACAGAAUUUCACUCCGCGGAUAGUAUUUUGCUGAAUUUUCGCGUGCGGCGCGGCCGGCCCCGCGCGCGGCGGCCGCCUUUGGACCGAAUUUCAACCCCCGUAAAUCCCCCGCCCUAUAGAUUUCCCCUUCAGUGGGCGCCCUUAGGCGCACCACCGCAAGGGACCAAGGUAGGAGGCGGCGCCCCGUUACCUUGGAUUUUACCCUUGGCCCGGCUACCAACCGCCCAUAAGUAGCUUUCCCGAAAAUCUCGUGAUGCACCGGGAUCAGGCCAAGGGCCCGGCCUCUAUACUGGGCAUAUGAGGCCUCGGGUAUUGCCUAUAUAUGGGCAUAUAGUAGGCGCGGGGUCUAUGUUCCCAUAGUAGUUAGCCUGACCACCCGAGCAACUUUGUGACUCGAUCGCGGAAGAAUUAUAGCCAAUAUGGAUGCGAUGCGUUUGCGGGACUCUGUCUCACUAUUCUGCGCUUAUAUUAACUACUAUGAACCCCUAUACCCGGGACUACGCACACCAGGCCGCUCUCACGGAACCCCCGCACCGUAAGAGGAGGCCGAGUGAGGAGGUAGUCCCUAUAUAAGGGUACGUCGUUGGUGCAUAAGCGAACCGCGAGUUUUAUUCGAAAUUAAAUUCGGUUCUACAGAGCACAUAUAGUGUUAUCUAGUGAUGAAUUAGACUUCUGUACUUAAGUACAUAAUACCCAAUCGAAUCAGUGGUCUACUGUGUGAAUCGGAUAAACGGUGGCUCACAAAAUUUCACUCAAUUUUGGCCGUAUUGAGGUCGCGGUUACUAUCGGGACAAUACUUUGGUGCCUAAUAGCUUUUGAACGAAAGCACCUAUGCUUAUGAAACUUUACCAGAUACAGAACUCUGUAGGUGCAGCGAAACAUAUGUUCAAUGAAUACUGUAGCUGUCAGGGUGCGGAGCUAGAGGGUCCGAACCUUUGCCUAUGGGACUUUACUAUGGGAGGGUACUUUGGUGUUAUUAACUUUUGCGCCAUAGCACCGAUGUGCAUGAAACUAUACCAGAAUAUUGAACUUGCACGUUCUAUCUAAUGAAUGUUCAAUCGCUAUUGUGGCUUAUGAUAUGGCGAUGCUAUCACUGCGAACCUUUGCUCAUUGGACUCCACAAUGGGAAAAAAUUUGGUCCGGAAUAACUUUUAGUACUAACACCGAUCUUGCUCAAAUUUCACCAGAUUAUAGAACUCGGUAAGUCCGCAGAAUGAGUGUUCAAUCACCAGUGUGGCAUUCUGGGUGCCCAAGUGACCAAAUCCGACUGUGUUUCUCGGACUUGGUUGUUGUACGUAAUUUGCCUGGCAAAAUUGGUACCGAUUUGAAAACCUUGACUCUUCGUAACUUUUGACUCAUAGCACCGAUCUUCAUGAAACUUUACCGAUUGAAGAACUUGGUAGGUCCAGCAGAUUAAGUGUUCAAUAGUUACUCUGGCCUUUCAGUCUCUGAGCUACGGAGUCCCAACUUUUCCUAUGGGACUUUACUAUAGGAAAAAACUUUA